UUUCUAACCUAACCUCUGAAGUCAUGCCAUGUCACUUCUGCUGAGUUCCAUUAAUUAAAAAUGAGUCACUGAGGGCCAGGCACAGUGGCUCAUGCCUGUAAUCUCAGUAUUUUGGGAGGCCGAGGUGGGCAGAUCACUUAAAGUCAGGUUCUUCAAGCUGAAACAGAAGGAAUCUCAUUAGUAAUAAGAAAAUUCACAAUAAUAUAAUAAUCACUGGUAAAAGUAAGUAUAUUAUCAAAUGCAGAAUAAGGUAAAACUUUGAGUGUCAUGUAAAUAACAUAUCUCUAAUAGAAAAGAUAAAACGCAGGUAAAAGUAGUAACAGUAUAGUUUUGUACGUGAUUGAAUUUAUCAGCUUAAAUAACCUGUCAUAACUAUAAUAAGUUUUAUGUAGACUUUAAGGUAAGCAGAAAGCAAAAAUGUAUAGGAGAUCUAAAAAAAAUACAAAGAGGAAGGAAUCAAAGCAUACAACUACAGAAAAUAGAUAUGAGAUGUUGAAGUCCUUAAACAGGUUGGUGGAUUUGUCUAUUUGUCUAUUUGUCCUUUCAACUCUUAGUUUUUGUUUAGUGUAUUUUGAGGCUCUGUUGUGUGCUUGUAUGUAUGCACACAUUUUUAAUAAUUUAUUUCUAUUUUUUUACUGUUACAUAAUCUCUCUUUUUUUCUAUAGGGAUAUUCUUUGUUUUGAAUUUACUUUAUUCUGACAUUAAUAUGUCACUUUUUCAUUUUUAAUUAUUGUUUAUAUAAUCAGU
rnacentral:lncRNA from 1 species